rnacentral:tRNA from 1 species
GAGGGCGGGGGCUUUGGCAUUAUCGCUGCUAACGAUGAUUUGAAUUCUUAAGGUAUUCGGUCCUCU